AUUGGCGGACGGGUGAGUAACGCGUGAGAAUCUGCCUUGGGGUCGGGGACAACCACUGGAAACGGUGGCUAAUACCGGAUAAGCCGAUUGGUGAAAGAUUUAUUGCCCGAAGAGGAGCUCGCGUCUGAUUAGCUAGUUGGUGAGGUAAGAGCUCACCAAGGCAGCGAUCAGUAGCUGGUCUGAGAGGACGAUCAGCCACACUGGGACUGAGACACGGCCCAGACUCCUACGGGAGGCAGCAGUGGGGAAUUUUCCGCAAUGGGCGAAAGCCUGACGGAGCAAGACCGCGUGAGGGAGGAAGGCUCUUGGGUUGUAAACCUCUUUUCUCAGGGAAGAAGCUCUGACGGUACCUGAGGAAUCAGCCUCGGCUAACUCCGUGCCAGCAGCCGCGGUAAUACGGAGGAGGCAAGCGUUAUCCGGAAUUAUUGGGCGUAAAGCGUCCGCAGGUGGCGAUUCAAGUCUGCUGUCAAAGCACGGGGCUUAACUCCGUAAAGGCAGUGGAAACUGAAUAGCUAGAGUGCCGUAGGGGUAGAGGGAAUUCCCGGUGUAGCGGUGAAAUGCGUAGAGAUCGGGAAGAACAUCGGUGGCGAAAGCGCUCUACUGGACGGCAACUGACACUCAGGGACGAAAGCUAGGGGAGCGAAUGGGAUUAGAUACCCC
rnacentral:rRNA from 1 species